GGCAACAACAUUAAUAGUGAUAAGUGUAUAUAUACACACAGAAGCAUGGGUAGUUAGUUUCUAAACAACUUAAAUACAAUAGCAGAAUAAGGCGUUUAAAGAUGAAGCUUGUGGUUUUCAUAUCGUUCUUGCUCAUGCUUUCAUUGUGCUCUUCAGGAUUUGGGGAGGGUCGCGAAAUUGCUGAUAACGACCUCUUUUCCUCGAACAAGGUUGAAGAGCUGUAUAGUGAUCGAAUGAUGGAUUAUCCUCCAACGGGCCCAAACCCAGGACACGACCCGACAGUUCCUCCGCCUCCACAUUCCGACGAAGAAAACAUGAUGGAAAAUUAUGUUAACUGAAUAUUGAAAUCCAUCCCAUCUUUGUAAAACAUAUAAUUAAAUAAAUUGCAUUCGUGAGCUCUUAUUUUAUCAUUUAAUUAUGUUUAGAAUUAGAGAAUCAAAGAAUUCAAACUUCAACCCUUUUA